GAUGAACGCUGGCGGCGUGCCUAAUACAUGCAAGUCGAGCGAACGGACGAGAAGCUUGCUUCUCUGAUGUUAGCGGCGGACGGGUGAGUAACACGUGGAUAACCUACCUAUAAGACUGGGAUAACUUCGGGAAACCGUAGCUAAUACCGGAUAAUAUUUUGAACCGCAUGGUUCAAAAGUGAAAGACGGUCUUGCUGUCACUUAUAGAUGGAUCCGCGCUGCAUUAGCUAGUUGGUAAGGUAACGGCUUACCAAGGCGACGAUGCAUAGCCGACCUGAGAGGGUGAUCGGCCACACUGGAACUGAGACACGGUCCAGACUCCUACGGGAGGCAGCAGUAGGGAAUCUUCCGCAAUGGGCGAAAGCCUGACGGAGCAACGCCGCGUGAGUGAUGAAGGUCUUCGGAUCGUAAAACUCUGUUAUUAGGGAAGAACAAAUGUGUAAGUAACUGUGCACAUCUUGACGGUACCUAAUCAGAAAGCCACGGCUAACUACGUG
rnacentral:rRNA from 1 species